ensembl:lncRNA LOC102556082 heterogeneous nuclear ribonucleoprotein C-like 1-like
GUGAGACCGCCCUUAAGAGACCGGCACCUUUUCGGAGCUCGACCUCUUCCAUGGCCCGCAACCAAGAGCAGGGUGGAUGAAAGCAAGAGGACCCCUCUAUUCGUCAAUCAGGUGCCAGCCAAGAGCCGAAGAACUUGUACAGGGGUCAAGAAUACCCACAACACUCACAAGACCUUCAGGAACAGUCAUCUCCCCCUGGGGCAGAUAAAGUACCAGACGGAGGAGCUAGAUUCCAUCCGGAGGGAGCUGAGCAAGAUCAAAGCCCGGGUGGACAGCCUGUUGGAGAGUCUGGAGUCCAUGGAGCAGCAGAGGGACCAGCGCGUGAGUCAGGUGAAGAAUCUCGCAUCAGACCAGAAUAGCCAGUAGGAGGUGGGGAACCUUCCAGACUUUCUUCACUGGUACUCUUGGGUGGCUUGUUUUCUUGCCUUGUAUUUUUG